GACGAACGCUGGCGGCGUGCUUAACACAUGCAAGUCGAACGGGUCUGCCCUGUUUUUUGCGGGGUGGGUCAGUGGCGAACGGGUGAGUAACACGUGAGUAACCUGCCCCUCACUUCUGGAUAACCGCUUGAAAGGGUGGCUAAUACGGGGUGUUCUGGCUGUGCCGCAUGGUGUGGCUGGGAAAGAUUCACUUUUGUGGUGUUUUGGUGGGGGAUGGGCUCGCGGCCUAUCAGCUUGUUGGUGGGGUGAUGGCCUGCCAAGGCUGUGACGGGUAGCCGGCCUGAGAGGGUGGGCGGUCACACUGGGACUGAGAUACGGCCCAGACUCCUGCGGGAGGCAGCAGUGGGGGGUAUUGCACAAUGGGCGGAAGCCUGAUGCAGCGACGUCGCGUGAGGGAUGGAGGCCUUCGGGUUGUGAACCUCUUUCGCCGGUGAAGAAGGUCCUGCUCUUUGUGGUGGGGUUGACGGUAGCCGGGUUAUGAAGCGCCGGCUAACUACGUG
rnacentral:rRNA from 1 species